GGUUGCACGCGACCGGCGCGGCGGCGCGAGGACAGGGCGUAGCUCCGUAGAUAGCACCCCACCACUGGGACCGAGAUAGCAAUACCCUGAUGUGAUCGAGCUCAUAGAGUAUAAGAUGAAGAAACAAAUUUGUAGUAAAUUGUAUAAGUUUUGUAAUAACCUAAAGGUAUUUGUAAUAGUGUAAAUGUAAAAUUCUGAGAUGAAUGCUUGUAAUAGCAUAGCUCACAUUUAUGUUUUUGAUACUAUGCAAUCUGUGGUUGAAUACAGUUCCUGUUUGGAACCUCUUGUAUCGCAUUGUAGAGAUUGUGACGCCUAGAACGUACAGGGGAGGCUCUGUCCAUUCGGCGGUCUGUCGGCGUGCCCGAAUCCGACCAAAUAGGCGGAGCUCGGGGCGUGACAGUAAAUCUGUUGGAAAUUGGGUUAUGUAAAGUACUUCAACCUUAGCUGGACAUAGUAGUAAAGUUACUUUAUGUCUUUGGUUAAGUGAACUUAUUGAUGAACAGACUAGAAAGUUGACAUCUAAAGUGAGCUUAGUGGUGAAUCACCUAGAAGUUGACAUCAUGAUUGGUUAGCAACAUAAUGAAUGACAUUAUGUUUCUUUCUUGCUAAUGAAAAAGGUAAUUACAUGAUAUCAUCUGUAAUUUCAGUAAAGUGAAUUAUCUUGCAUACAAUCUGGUAUAUGUUUGGUUAAAUUGUCAAGUAAUCUGACUGAUAGAAUCUAUCAUGAUAACUGAUACCUGCAAUCUAUUGAUGAGUAUUUAUUAUUGAGCAAAUAGCAUGAGUAGUUUACUUUCAUAUCUGUUGCAUGUAAUUGCUUAUUGCAUUAUAUGCAUUAACUUGUUUAUUUAUUGCUAUCUACUCAUGCCACAGUUGACCUAGUGGUGUAGUUCGCCACUCUCGGCGGCUUACCCAUUGGGAACUAUUGUUUAAUAGUUCUCACGCCCUCUUUGUUGUUGUUUUUACAGAGCCUUCCACCGCGGGAAAGGCUAGGGUUCUUGGCGAGGGGUCUGCGGCUAGCUAGAGCCUUUUUGGAUGUGUACUAGAUGGCCUCCACUAGUUUAUGUAGCUUAGUAUAGAGGAGUAUAUUAAGUUUUGUAAAUUGUACUUUAUUCUUAUUUCAUGUAUUAAGGUUUGGAUUGUAUAUGUUAAACUUACAAGUCUUGCUCUGAUUAUCUGGUUAGAAUUAUAUGCUUUUAUUAUAUGGUUUGUAGACGCCUUGUGUAUACUUGAGUUGUGGUGUAUACGGCGGGUCUGUGCACGCGACCGGAUAUGCUUCCGCUGGUACCCGUGUGUGACAGGUUCAUCACUGUUUCAUUGGAUCUAAAACCCGGAAAUACAGCACAUGUCCCAAAGGCCUUCCUCUAUGUCAUCGUGUCUAAAACACGGAAUAUAGUAACUGUCUCAAUGGCCUAUCUCUAUGCCAUCAUAUCUAAAACAUGGAAUAUAGUAACUGUCUCAAUGGCCUUUCUCUAUGUAAUCAUGUCUAAAACAUGGAAUAUAGUAACUGUCUCAAUGGCCUAUCUCUAUGUCAUCAUGUCUAAAACAUG
rnacentral:lncRNA from 1 species